rnacentral:rRNA from 1 species
GAUGAACGCUGGCGGCGUGCCUAAUACAUGCAAGUCGAGCGAACGGACGAGAAGCUUGCUUCUCUGAUGUUAGCGGCGGACGGGUGAGUAACACGUGGAUAACCUACCUAUAAGACUGGGAUAACUUCGGGAAACCGUAGCUAAUACCGGAUAAUAUUUUGAACCGCAUGGUUCAAAAGUGAAAGACGGUCUUGCUGUCACUUAUAGAUGGAUCCGCGCUGCAUUAGCUAGUUGGUAAGGUAACGGCUUACCAAGGCAACGAUGCAUAGCCGACCUGAGAGGGUGAUCGGCCACACUGGAACUGAGACACGGUCCAGAUUCCUACGGGAGGCAGCAGUAGGGAAUCUGCCGCAAUGGGCGAAAGCCUGACGGAGCAACGCCGCGUGAGUGAUGAAGGUCUUCGGAUCGUAAAACUCUGUUAUUAGGGAAGAGCAUAUGUGUAAGUAACUGUGCACAUCUUGACGGUACCUAAUCAGAAAGCCACGGCUAACUACGUG